AAGAUUAAACAUUUUAACUUCUUUAUUUUUACUAAAAAUCCAAAUUAUCUUAAAUGUAAAAAGACACUUAUAAUAAAGAAAGACGACAAGACCCUGUUGAACUUAACUUAAGUUUUACUGGGGCAGUAAGAUUAAGUAUUAUUUUAAUUUAUAUAAAUAUAUACUCAUCCAAUACAAAUGAAUUAUUCAGUUACCAUAGGGAUAACAGCGCAAUUAUAUAUUAAAGUUCUCAUUAAAUAUAUAGAUUACGACCUCGAUGUUGAAUUAAUAACCUAAUUAAAGCAACUUUUAAACAAGGAAGUCUGUUCGACUUUUAAAAAAUUACAUGAUUUGAGUUCAGACCGGUGUAAGCCAGGUCGGUUUCCAUCUUCUGUAUAAAUUUUUACAGUACGAAAGGACCUAUUAAUUUAAUUAAAUUAUUUAAUUGGCAGAUUAAUGCAUUAGAAUUAGAAUCUAAUUAAACUAAAA
rnacentral:rRNA from 1 species